ACCCCAAGAGAAACCCUGUUUCCAAAAUGCUUCCACAUGUCUCAGUGGAGUUUGGCACAGAUGAAGAUCUUGUUGGAAUGAAUGAAGGAAGAUGGCCCUAGGAGAUAUGCUGGCAGAAUGAGCAGAGAGCCAGAGAGAGACCUCUGCAGGUGAAAAAAGCAUUUGAUGAAGGAGAAAAAAGAAGAGCCGUUUUCCUCAAUCUGGGAAAGUGAAGGCGUAAAUGUCUCAGUCACUGACUAUAAGUACAAAGGGCCCAGAAGCUGGAAUCUGAAGACAAACAUGGCUCCACUACAUUUUACUCUCAUUGCCUUGGGAAACAUUACUUAAACCAGAAGAAUCUAUUGCCCUCUUUACUUCACAGUGCUACAGAGAGGAUUACAUGAGCCAAUAUUUGAAACACAGGCAGUGCAGUCGGCCCAUGAAGUGAAAGCCUGGGUGAGCCUGUGUUUAGUACUUUUAACGUAAGAAGACAGAAAAGGAAAUACUAAAGACCGAACUUUCCUUCAACUCUGUGGUCUCACACAUCCCUCAGUGACUUGGAAACUUUUCUGACAUGAGACAGUGUGCAGAGCAAGAUAACCACUCCCCUUCCUCCUCCUGAAGAUGUGUAAACAGCUGGUGCAUGCAAUCCCUCUGGCUGGAGGGAAGUAAAUGCAGACUGAUGUUAAACAAAUAUAGGCCAGUAUCAGGAACUCAGAAAAUAUUACAUAUACAAUGUGACAAGGGGCCCUGCAGGGUUCAUGAUCAUUGCAGGUAUUAAGGGUCAAGAGUUGGGGUGUCAGAGCCAAUAAUUUUUUUUAAGGCUAUGUAUUUGUUUCUUGUUUGGAAUUACGUUGGUUCUUUUGCUAGAGUUUUCUUAGCAUGACAUCACACAAUUGUGAAGAAUGUUCAUCACUAUAAAGCUAUUAUAAUUCCUCAUUUUUUUGUUGGCUUUAAUUCUCAAAUUUUAUAUACCUACAAGUCAUGUUACUUUAAUCACAUCUUGAGAAAUCAAUGAGACGUCACUUUUUCCUUCAACCCAUGACACUUACGUGAGCUCUGGAUAGGAAUAAAAGUGAGUGGGGAUAAAAGCUUCUGUUAACUGUGCUUUUCUCCUAGCAGGCACAUGGUGUUCCAAGUUCUUGGCUAUUUCAUAGGAAUCUUGAAUACACAAUUAUGAACUAAUUAUCAAUGCCUGAUUCAUCAAGUAACACUCAUGACAUGAGUCUGAGUGGCACACAUCUGACAGCAAGUGGAGUAAACUAAACACACUGUCCCUGUCCUCCAGAACUGUGUCAGCCUUGCUGAUAUUAAAGCUUGAUAAGCCACAAUCAUCUUUGUCUUGUGACAUGGUAGCUACUCAAUCAAUCAGUUGACAAAACUGAAUGAGAAGUAUAAAAUAAAACAGAAAAUCAAGCAAACAUAAAGCAUAAUAGGAACAAAAUAGAAGGGCCAAUUUCUCUUUUAUCAUCAACUUUGUAAUGCUGGAAGUUCUGCAGUCCUCAGGGUCUAAGAAAAGUGGAGUAGGCGUCUAUCUCGGUAUCAGGAUUUAUACUUAUAUUUACUAUUAUGGCAUUGAAUGGCUUACUUUUGUCUUUCUCACCAGACUCCAAGUUCCUGUGGGCAGAUCUCACGUCUUAUUUCUUCUUUUAUCCCCACACAUUCUACAACUUCUACAAGAUAGAUGCUCAAUCAUGGUUUCACAAUGGAUGAAUAUUAAAUGAAUGAACGAACACAGCUCAGUCAGGAGUAGAACUAAUAUGCAGUAAAUCCUACUUGUAUUUUUCACCUUAGUGAGGUCACUUCACACCCCAGAUGGCAAUCUUUCCUAUAUAAAUAAGCUUAAAGAAAAGAAAACUGUGUUAUAAUCACUCUCAGAAGAAAGUUCAGCCAAAAAUUGCCAUAUUAAGAUGAUUAGCUUGUAUGUAACUGAGUAUCUUAGGAAUAAUUCAUGUCCUGUGCCAGUUGGUGAGCUUCUAUUCUUCUUGCUUGCAGACCCUUAUUAGAGAUUUUCUAACAUUUUUUAAAGGGAAAGGGUGAACUAUAAAUUAUAGAGAUUGAAAAUGGUAAUGAUUCUAUUUGUAUUAUUAUUCAUAAUCAUAACCCAAUUCUUAAGGUUCUGUACCAAGGAUUCACAAUACAUAUGAAUAUAUAUGUACAUAUGCAUAUAUACACACAAUCUAAACUCUGUUCUAAAUGACUUGGUAAAACAUUUUGCUGUUUCUUUUUCUGGGAGGGCAAGCAAAAUAAGUCAUAAGUCUGUCUGAGAAGCUGUUAGGCACAAUCUUUAAAAGCUUUAAUUCUUUUCAAAGCAUACUUGCAUCAAUUACUUCCUUCCUCUCAUAUCAGCAUGGAAAGUAGACAGGACAGGUAGGGAGCAUAACCUCCUUUUUUCUGAGAGAAAACUAAGGUUCAUGAACCCAUUCACUUGGUCCUCAGCAAAUUCAUAUAGGGCACUAACUAUGCAUAAGCUACAGGAGUUGCUGGUUUUACAAAGUAAACAUGGUUUCCCUUCGAGUAACUGACAGCCUAUUUGAGAUAGCAUUGCCCUUGGAAUCAGGUAACCAGGGUCUCUGCACUAGGCACUGAGCUUUAGAAGGCCCUACCUGCCCUCUCUGACUGCAAUUCUCUCCAUGGGGCAAGGAAUCCAUGGAGCCAAGGAGAUAUAUAUACCCAGACUUUGAGCAAUCUAUCUUCCCAUCUCCCCCCACCUCUAGACCACACACUAGGUACCUGAGACUCAGAAUUCCCCACCCAGUGGGGAAGCCCUACUUCCUGGGCUUGUGAAGCACCUCUUCCCCACUUCACCCUCCCAAGGACACACAUUCACCAUGCCAAGGGUUGAGAGAGAAGGUUGGAGAGAGCUCCAGGCAAAUGUAGUAACAGGCCUGAGAAGAGGAGAUAGAGAAGUCAGCAAUUACAAUGCUGCCUGUGGUGAUAUGGAAGUGAACAGGGAAUGCUAGGGAAAGGCAGAAGGGACACCCAGCCCAAAUGAGGCAUGAAGAAGGAGAAAGAGAUGGGAGCAAAGGCUGUUGAAAAAGAAGCUGAGCCUCGGAGGCUGGGUCAGAACUACCACAUGAGGUUAGAAAAAGAAAGGAGGGCAUUUUAGAAGAGUGAAAGAAAGGUGUACGCAAAGGAAUGGUGGAGGAUUAAUGGAAUUGCAAGUUCUUCUAUGUGCUUGAAGAAAUGAAAAAAGAGGGGUAGAAAAUAAGUUGAAAGGGAGAGAUGGACAAUUAAUGAUAUUUGUCACUAUUCAUUUUACUUUCUUAUGGCGCUAUGAACCUGAUUUUAUUUGGAAGUAGUGACUUCUCCCCAUUUAAUACCAUUCGGUGGACUAAUAAUCAGGUGCCCUGCUUUCUCCUUGACUAGAUUCAAGAGAAAUGACAAAAAGACUGAGAAUCUCUGAGGUCCUUGGGUUUCCAGAGGUAUUCCUGCAAGGAACAGUCAAGCAGCAUCAAACCUUCAGACCUUCUGAAACAGCCUGGUUCCUCCCAGCACUGGGUCUGGUUCUGCCGCCCUCCUUUCCAACAUGUCACGUCAGUCAUCCUCCCAACAAAUUCAGUAGUUGGUUAAGCAAGCCAUAUACAGUGUUAGUUGACUGAAAUCAAAGCUCUAUAGCUAAUACCAGAGGAAAGCAAAGUUCUGAUUUUCAUAAGGUUUUGAAUGCUGUGCUAUGGAUUUUGGACUUUAUUUUGAAGGCAAUAAAGAUUGUAAUAAAGAUAGUAGCAUGAGUGAACUGGUUAAGAGAUUUGCCAAAAUGUCUAGCCAUUCAACUUCGUAAGUAUAUGAAAUUCUCCAUAGAAGUAUAAUGUUAAAUAAGUGGCCUUCAGUAAGGCAAAAACAAACAAACAAAAAAAUAGAUAGCUGCUCUUUCUAUUUCUGUUACUAUUAAAGAAAAUGUAGCUUUCCAAAUGACUUAAUUUUACUCAUGAAUGAAUGAAUAUUGAGUUAAUAACACUCUCCAUACUUUCCCUUUUUUAUAUAUAUAUAACUUGAGAUAAUAAUUGCUACUUAAAGUAGGAUGUUUAUAAAUACAUGGCAGUACUGUGUAUGCUUUCUUCUUUGUGGUUUUUAUAUGCUUUUAUACGUUCUGUGUAUGAAUGUUGAGGAGAACUUCUUUUAGAAUUAGUUAGAAUAAACUUGUUCAUUCUGAAAGCAUGUAUUUAAUGUGAUUCAUUUGGCCACCUUAACCAAAAAAUUAUUUUGUGUGUUUUAAAGGGGAAAAAGGAUUGUCAUAUGUUUAGCGUCUGAAUUAAUGUAGUCUUUCAUUGAGCAACUAUUCAUUAAGAUCAUCUAAUGCAAGGUGCUACACCAGGCACAUUAUAUGAUGAUUCAUUCUAUCAAUAAUUUCUUAAACAUCCAGCGAGCAAGGAGACAAUUGUACAUGUGCAUUGUUUUGCAAUCACAUUAACAAUUCUAAAAUUAGUCUUUUUGAAUAAAAUAUCUUCAAACUUUUGAACAAACAAAUAUCCCAGUGAUCUGGCAAAUUCCCAGAGCUCAUGUGUGACUGUGGGAGCUUUGUGUGUAACUGUGUGGUUUUUUUGUAAGUUGGAAGUCCACAAGAUAAAAAUAAGCCCUUGGUGCCCUCAUGACUUUAUUAGCUAUUGUACUCUGAAGACAACAAGCCUACAUGUUUUGAAAUUUACAAUUUCCUGGAGCAUUUCUACAAACAGUUUUGACAUAGUACAGAAUACUUGAUCAACUGUCACCCAAGGCAAUUUGAAGAAAAUACAGGAAAUGGAGGGUCUAUUCUGAACCCUGAAAAUGCAAGGUCUUCUCUUUUGCCAUGAUGAAGAAAAAUAAACCUUUCCCUUAUAGAGAAGAUCUAUGGAACACUGAUGUUGAAAUUCCAAGCUCUGCAUUACUAAGAUUUCUGGACAUCAUCACAAAGCCUCUAAGCCAUACUUGCAGCUCUUUGCAAAGCUUGCCAGAAGACGACUUUAGUGAGAACUGUAAUUUUAUGAUCGUAGACAUUACACCUGACACAAUCUCUUGGUUAAAAAUGAAUUUAGAAAGAUACAAGGACUCGAUUAGCAAAGCAAUGACGAGCUAGCAGCAUUCCAGAAAUCCUCACUUUAUGAUACUUUGACAUUUAUAGCUGUGUGACUUUAAAGAAGUUACCUAAUCUUAUUCAGUCUCAGCCAUCUCAUCUUUAAACAGAGCUAAGAAUACAUGCUUCUUAAGAUUACUUGCACAAUUUCAUGUGAUAAGGUAUACAAAGUGCCAAAUGAAAUUCUAGGCAUAUACUAGGAGUUGAAUAGAUACUGUAUUCUUUCUGCUCUUGUUAGUGCCUUAUGUGAUUUGCUCCCUGGAGAAGGUAAGACUGUUUGUCUAAUAGCAUUUAUUUUACUAAUAAUAGAAAUCCAAAGGUUGUCAAUUAUGGAUGACCUACUUUGUCUCAAUUUAAUAACUGUAUUAUUUCUGUAUUGCACAUUUAUGUGAAAUAAAUCUUACUAUCUCCAUUUUUGCAG
rnacentral:lncRNA from 10 species